rnacentral:lncRNA from 1 species
AGAAGAAAAUUAAAGUUCUUAAUUCUUGAUAACAAACCAAAUUACAUGAUAGGUGUAAGUGAUGCAUGCCCAGCAGCUUUACAAACAAACAAGAACAACUUAAUUAAACAGACUGGCUACCUCGUAUGCAUCUCUUACAUCCCAUGUUUUACAACAUUAAGCAUGCAAAAAAGAGAAAAAUAAAAGGAGAACUAAUCGAGAGCAAAGACUUACAUAUUCAAGCACAAACAGGCCAAAGUUAAGUAAGUAAUAAAAGAAAAAUUAAAGACCUAAGUUGUUAAGGUAAACUCGGACCGCUACCCUCAAUUCCCCGCAAUGCAAUAAUACACGCUCUCCCGACUCUGCCCGACACUUUUGUGGUAGCAGGCUAGAGAUUCAGGACAGCGCGCAAUUGCAAAGCCUGUUUUGUAUGUUGUUCUUUCGUCAUUUUUUAUUUAUAUUUACAACACAACCCUUCUCCUCCACGCUGCUGCCGCUGCCAACCGGCACCAUCUUCACGCACUUCACCCAUGUAGACGAAAUCCCACUGGUGGCAGCUGGCCAUCAUGGUGGAUUUUGCGUCGUAAUUGCCAACGAGGCGAAAUUUUAUGGGUAGAAAGAAAGGAGGACUAGAAAAAGAGGGUGAUGAGUAUAGAGCUGAGGGGACAUGAUAGGUCGUAUAUAAAGACGAGACUGUAAGCUUUUUGUUGAAAUAUGAGUGUCACAGUUUUUUUUUUUUUUUUUUUG